AUACUUCUUUGUCAUUUAUUAAAGGGAAAUAAGACUGGAAUACCUCUGGUGCCAUGGCUACAGUGUAGAGUUCUCCUUUUAAUGUCACCUAGAAUGACUAAUACAUGCGUAGCUUUUUCGUAGGUCUUACUUCCUUGUUGGGUGAAAAACAUGGCUAUGAAGAUUAUUACAAAGGGUUAAACUUCUAGUAAAGAUCCGAAAUCAAGUCCAAGUAAUUUUGAAAUGGAAGAAAACACGAUGCCAAAGAUUUACUUUGAUCCCGAGGCACAUACUUCAAAUGGAGUGAUAUACAAUUAUAUUACAGAUGAAAACCUUUUAUCUAAACUUAUAGAACUUGUCGGCGUAAAUAAGAAGAUUAAAACGGUGUGGACAUAUAGAUCGCCUCUGUAUAUGUGGUAUAAUACUAGUUUUUGGCCUCAACGUACGUUUGUAGUUAUUCAAACUAACAACUGGUGGUGGUCUAUUGACAAACAAUCAGACGGUAUUACGAUAUAGCGCAGCAAUCAAUUCAAAUCCGUGGUGAACUAUUACAAACAAAAACAUCGUUAUAACCUGACAAAACUAGCAGAGACUAAAGGUAGAAUGGGAGUGUAUGAGCUAAUUGAAUUGUUAUAUUGCGAGGACGAACUGACUUGCAAGCACGAGAUAGUUUUCAAUAACCGCACAGUCUUUGCUGAUCGGAUAUUUGAAUAUGUGAAAAAUCCACGUCAUUUCGGAGGAAAAAAAAAAGGUACAUUUUAUGUCUUGAAGAUACAAAUGAAUAUGAUGAGAAAAAACAGCCGUAUGACAACAGGAGAACUUAUGUCUCAGUGCGUGAAAUGUAAAGAAAUGACAGAAGACAUUGACGUAUUCCGGCUUUGUGUAUUGGUACCACCGAUACGCAUAUUUGUUGUUUGUAAAACCAAAACAUGGAUUUGAUGCAUCGAAAAUAGUUCAAAUAUUAUAAUAAUUCGUCGAUUUGAUUCGGAAACAUCGUUAAAUAACAGAUUUAUGAACAAUACUAGUUCUCUUAGUGAAAUCAUUUGCAUUAAAGAAGAUGCCGGCAAUUUGACAAUCCAUAAACUUAUCGAAUGACUAUGUAAAGAAGAUUCGUUUAAGAAAAGGUGCAACGGAGUUCCGGCUUUUGUCGAGAUCUUACGAUGUAUUUGACCACGUGGAAUUAGAAAAAAAUAGAAGUUUAAACAUGAUGUUAUGAAUUUAAAUGCGCUUACAAUAUAAAUGGAUUAUUAUAUUAUAA